AGCGGCGGACGGGUGAGUAACACGUGGGUAACCUGCCCAAGAGACAGGGAUAACACCUGGAAACAGAUGCUAAUACCGGGUAACAACACUAGACGCAUGUCUAGAGCUUGAAAGAUGGUUCUGCUAUCACUCUUGGAUGGACCUGCGGUGCAUUAGCUAGUUGGUAAGGUAACGGCUUACCAAGGCAAUGAUGCAUAGCCGAGUUGAGAGACUGAUCGGCCACAUUGGGACUGAGACACGGCCCAAACUCCUACGGGAGGCAGCAGUAGGGAAUCUUCCACAAUGGACGAAAGUCUGAUGGAGCAACGCCGCGUGAGUGAAGAAGGGUUUCGGCUCGUAAAGCUCUGUUGGUAGUGAAGAAAGAUAGAGGUAGUAACUGGCCUUUAUUCGACGGUAAUUACUUAGAAAGUCACGGCUAACUACGUGCCAGCAGCCGCGGUAAUACGUAGGUGGCAAGCGUUGUCCGGAUUUAUUGGGCGUAAAGCGAGUGCAGGCGGUUCAAUAAGUCUGAUGUGAAAGCCUUCGGCUCAACCGGAGAAUUGCAUCAGAAACUGUUGAACUUGAGUGCAGAAGAGGAGAGUGGAACUCCAUGUGUAGCGGUGGAAUGCGUAGAUAUAUGGAAGAACACCAGUGGCGAAGGCGGCUCUCUGGUCUGCAACUGACGCUGAGGCUCGAAAGCAUGGGUAGCGAACAGGAUUAGAUACCCUGGUAGUCCAUGCCGUAAACGAUGAGUGCUAAGUGU
rnacentral:rRNA from 1 species